GAUGAACGCUGGCGGCGCGCCUAAUACAUGCAAGUCGAGCGAACAGACGAGGAGCUUGCUCCUCUGACGUUAGCGGCGGACGGGUGAGUAACACGUGGAUAACCUACCUAUAAGACUGGGAUAACUUCGGGAAACCGGAGCUAAUACCGGAUAAUAUAUUGAACCGCAUGGUUCAAUAGUGAAAGACGGUUUUGCUGUCACUUAUAGAUGGAUCCGCGCCGCAUUAGCUAGUUGGUAAGGUAACGGCUUACCAAGGCAACGAUGCGUAGCCGACCUGAGAGGGUGAUCGGCCACACUGGAACUGAGACACGGUCCAGACGCCUACGGGAGGCAGCAGUAGGGAAUCUUCCGCAAUGGGCGAAAGCCUGACGGAGCAACGCCGCGUGAGUGAUGAAGGUCUUCGGAUCGUAAAACUCUGUUAUUAGGGAAGAACAAAUGUGUAAGUAACUAUGCACGUCUUGACGGUACCUAAUCAGAAAGCCACGGCUAACUACGUG
rnacentral:rRNA from 1 species